rnacentral:rRNA from 1 species
UACGAAGGGGGCUAGCGUUGCUCGGAAUCACUGGGCGUAAAGGGCGCGUAGGUGGCCGAGCAAGGUCGCGGUGAAAGCCCGGGGCUCAACCCCGGGUCGGCCGUGGCAACUACUUGGCUGGAGCACUGUAGGGGCGGGUGGAAUUCCCGGUGUAGCGGUGAAAUGUGUAGAGAUCGGGAGGAACACCGGUGGCGAAGGCGGGUCUCUGGGCCGGUACUGACACUGAGGAGCGAAAGCGUGGGUAGCAAACAGG